GAUCGCGUCGGCGAAGCGGUUGAGCGUAUGGGUUCCCGGCGCGCUGGCCGCCCAGCGAUCAUGUUUCGCGAUGGGAUUGGAGAUCGUC
rnacentral:sRNA from 1 species